AGAGCAAAGGGUGAAUGCCUUGGCAUCAAGAACCGAAGAAGGACGUAGAAAGCUGCGAAAAGCCACGAGGAGACGCACACAGUCAGAGAAUCGUGGAUAUCCGAAUGGGGGAACCUAGCAGAGUAAAGCUCUGUUACUAUAUACUGAAUAAAUAGGUAUAUAGGGGGAACGUUGUGAACUGAAACAUCUAAGUAGCAACAGGAAGAGAAAGAAAAAUCGAUUUCCUAAGUAGCGGCGAGCGAAAGGGAAAAAGGCCAAACCAAUGAGCGUGCUCAUUGGGGUUGAGGACUGCAGAAUCCAUUGACAAAGGAUAGUCGAAUUGUUUUGGGAAAGCAAACCAAAGAAGGUGAAAGUCCAGUAGACGAAAUCUAGAGUCAGGAGGCAGGAUCCAGAGUACCACGGGACACGAGAAACCCUGUGGGAAGCCGGGGGGACCACCCCCCAAGCCUAAAUAUUCCUUGAUGACCGAUAGUGAAUAAGUACUGUGAAGGAAAGGUGAAAAGAACCCCGGGAGGGGAGUGAAAAAGAACCUGAAACCCUUUGUUUACAAACAGUGGGAGUUACGUUAGUAACGACUGCGUACUUUUUGUAGAACGGUCCGGCGAGUUACAUUUGCAAGCGAGGUUAAUUAGUAAGAAGCUAAGAAGCCGAAGGGAAACCAAGUCUGAAAAGGGCGACAAGUUUGUAGGUGUAGACCCGAAACCGGGUGACCUAUCCAUGAGCAGGUUGAAGUUACCGUAAAAGGUAAUGGAGGACCGAACUCGUAUCUGUUGAAAAAGGUUGAGAUGACUUGUGGAUAGCGGAGAAAUUCCAAUCGAACCCGGAGAUAGCUGGUUCUCCUCGAAAUAGCUUUAGGGCUAGCCUUGUGUUAAUCUACUGGAGGUAAAGCACUGAAUUGGUGCGGGGCCUUCGCGGGUUACCAAAUCAUAUCAAACUAAGAAUGCCAGAUAGAUGAUGCACAGGAGUCAGACUAUGUGAGAUAAGUUUCAUAGUCAAAAGGGAAAGAGCCCAGACCGACAGCUAAGGUCCCAAAGUGUGUGUUAAGUGGAAAAGGAUGUGAGAAUUCGAAGACAACUAGGAUGUUGGCUUAGAAGCAGCCACGCAUUUAAAGAGUGCGUAACAGCUCACUAGUCGAGAGUUUUUGCGCCGAAAAUGUCCGGGGCUAAAACACACCACCGAAGCUACGGAAUUGUGCGUAAGUGCAAUUGGUAGAGGAGCAAUCUGCAAGGAAGAAGCCUAACUGAAAGGGAGGGUGGACGAAGCAGAAGAGAGAAUGCCGGAAUGAGUAGCGAGAUAUAUGUGAGAAUCAUAUAGGUCGAAUGUCUAAGGUUUCCAGAGUAAAGCUGAUCUGCUCUGGGUAAGUCGGGACCUAAGGCGAGGUCGAAAGACGUAGUCGAUGGACAACUGGUUUAAAUUCCAGUACUACUAAUAAUCAGAACUGUGGGGACACAGGAGGAUAGGAAAACCGAGGAAAGGAAAUACUCGGCUAAGCACAAAGCUGUGUGUAUGAUGAAAAACACAUACAUGAAGGUGAAGUGUGAUAGGGAGUGAAGAGAAGUAGCGAAGUUUCUGAAUCCACACUGUCAAGAAAAGCCGCUAUAGAGUUAUUAGUACCCGUACCGCAAACCGACACAGGUAGACGAGGAGAAAAUCCAAAGACCGACGGGAGAAGUGUUGUUAAGGAACUCGGCAAAAUGACCCCGUAACUUAGGGAGAAGGGGAACCAACGAGAGUUGGUCACAGAGAAGAGGCUCAAGCGACUGUUUAGCAAAAACACAGGUCUCUGCGAAACCGAAAGGUGAAGUAUAGGGGCUGACACCUGCCCGGUGCUGGAAGGUCAAAAGGAGAGGUUAGGGAAACCCCGAAGCUUUGAAUUCAAGCCCCAGUAAACGGCGGCCGUAACUAUAACGGUCCUAAGGUAGCGAAAUUCCUUGUCGGGUAAGUUCCGACCCGCACGAAAGGCGUAACGAUUUGGGCACUGUCUCAACGAGAGACUCGGUGAAAUUUUAGUACCUGUGAAGA
rnacentral:rRNA from 1 species